rnacentral:rRNA from 1 species
CACUCCUGCGGGAGGCAGCAGUGGGGAAUUUUGGACAAUGGGCGAAAGCCUGAUCCAGCAAUGCCGCGUGAGUGAAGAAGGCCUUCGGGUUGUAAAGCUCUUUUGUCAGGGAAGAAACGGUGAAAGCUAAUAUCUUUUGCUAAUGACGGUACCUGAAGAAUAAGCACCGGCUAACUACGUGCCAGCAGCCGCGGUAAUACGUAGGGUGCAAGCGUUAAUCGGAAUUACUGGGCGUAAAGCGUGCGCAGGCGGUUUUGUAAGUCUGAUGUGAAAUCCCCGGGCUCAACCUGGGAAUUGCAUUGGAGACUGCAAGGCUAGAAUCUGGCAGAGGGGGGUAGAAUUCCACGUGUAGCAGUGAAAUGCGUAGAUAUGUGGAGGAACACCGAUGGCGAAGGCAGCCCCCUGGGUCAAGAUUGACGCUCAUGCACGAAAGCGUGGGGAGCAAACAGGAUUAGAAACCCUUGUAGUCCCA